AGGCUCAGGUAUGUCUUUAUUACCAGUUACGAGAAUGAAUUGGAGUGGCAUGAAGCAUGAGAUAAGCAGACCACUUACAAGACUGUUGCAGUUGUAAAGCAUAGGAUGACAGGACUGGAUUAAGGUUCUUGAGGAUACAAUCAACCAAGGUACACUUUAAAUUAAAGCAGAUAUAUGGAUAAAACAGGAAAAAUACAAGGAUAUUCAAUAUCAACAUUUCCAUUAAGAAUUGUACUUGGGCAUCUGGCCAACAGAAUUCAGAGCCCCAGCCUGUUCAUAAAAAAAAUCAGAUGAAUUUUGUCUGCGGAACAUUCUGCAAAAAUAUCUGACCAGUAAGUAAUCCUCUAAAUAGCCACAGCCAUCAACAGCAAGGAAAGUCUGAGAAAGUGUCACAGCCAAGAGGACCCUAUAAAGACAUGAUGACUAAAUGUAACAUGGUGUCUUCCAUGGGAUCCUGAAACAGAAAAAGGACAUUAGUCCUAGCUACUCCGGAGGCUGAGGCAGGAGGAUCACUUGAGCCCAGGACUUUGAGGCCGCUGUAAGCUAUGAUCAUGCCACUGCACUCCAGCUCAGGCAACAGUGAGACCCGGUCUCAACAAACAAAAGAAAAUAAAAGAAUGGUAGACAAG
rnacentral:antisense_RNA from 1 species